rnacentral:tRNA from 1 species
CAGGAGGUAGUUUAAAUGAAAAUGCAGGCUUUGGGGGCUUGUGUUAGGGUAGGACCCUCUUCCUGA